CAGUAGCCGCGGGAAUACGGAGGGUGCAAGCGUUAAUCGGAAUUACUGGGCGUAAAGCGCACGCAGGCGGUCUGACAAGUCAGAUGUGAAAUCCCCGGGCUUAACCUGGGAACUGCAUUUGAAACUGUCAGGCUGGAGUCUUGUAGAGGGGGGUGGAAUUCCAGGUGUAGCGGUGAAAUGCGUAGAGAUCUGGAGGAAUACCGGUGGCGAAGGCGGCCCCCUGGACAAAGACUGACGCUCAGGUGCGAAAGCGUGGGGAGCAAACAGGAUUAGAUACCCUGUAGUCCCUGUCUCUUAUACA
rnacentral:rRNA from 1 species